ensembl:snoRNA SNORD111 small nucleolar RNA, C/D box 111
UAGCCUAAAAUGAUGACUCUUUAAAUUUCAUGUCUUUUUUCUGACAUUUUUCUCUGGAGAAAGUUCUUGAUGUUGCUCAUUUAUUCAGGAUGUAGAGUGAAAUUGUGGCUG